rnacentral:misc_RNA from 1 species
UCUCCGUUGGUGAACCAGCGGAGGGAUCAUUACCGAGUUUACAACUCCCAAACCCCUGUGAACAUACCAUUUGUUGCUUCGGCGGGAUCGCCCCGGUGCCCUCGGGCCCGGACCCAGGCGCCCGCCGGAGGACCCAAACUCUUGUCUUCACGAGUAUCUUCUGAGUGACAUAAGCAAAUAAAUUAAAACUUUCAACAACGGAUCUCUUGGUUCUG